GAUGAACGCUGGCGGCGUGCCUAAUACAUGCAAGUCGAGCGAAUGGAUUAAGAGCUUGCUCUUAUGAAGUUAGCGGCGGACGGGUGAGUAACACGUGGGUAACCUGCCCAUAAGACUGGGAUAACUCCGGGAAACCGGGGCUAAUACCGGAUAACAUUUUGAACCGCAUGGUUCGAAAUUGAACGGCGGCUUCGGCUGUCACUUAUGGAUGGACCGCGUCGCAUUAGCUAGUUGGUGAGGUAACGGCUCACCAAGGCAACGAUGCGUAGCCGACCUGAGAGGGUGAUCGGCCACACUUGGACUGAGACACGGCCCAGACUCCUACGGGAGGCAGCAGUAGGGAAUCCUCCGCAAUGGACGAAAGUCUGACGGAGCGACGCCGCGUGAGUGAUGAAGGCUUUCGGGUCGUAAAACUCUGUUGUUAGGGAAGAACAAGUGCUAGUUGAAUAAGCUGGCACCUUGACGGUACCUAACCAGAAAGCCACGGCUAACUACGUGCCAGCAGCCGCGGUAA
rnacentral:rRNA from 1 species